AGAGAAGACAAAAUAACCCAAAGAAAAGAAGUAUGGAAGGCAGGGGUAGCAAGGCGGAGCUGUGCCCUGUCACGGCACACAGAGAAUGCCCAUGGAUUUUCACAAAUGCUGUUAAAAUGUGAAAAGAAGGUGUUUCUUUUUUCUUCAAUCUGAGCUUCAAGCUAAUAUGGGCAUUCAGCUAAAUCCCUCCUGGGUCCUGAAACAGUAUGUGGUUUUGGAUUUCAAAGGUAAUUAUUGCUGAAUUCAUUGUAUGGCCAGUGCACCUGCCAGGUAGACAUUAUAAAAGAGCAUGCAGGGGGCCACCAAGAGAAUUUGGAGGACAAUUUCUCCAUCACAAAACCCCUUUGAAAGCCUAUUAAGGCAUCAAGUGCCAGGAAUGGAGUUGAACAUAUUCAUAAUACAGUUAACAAUGCAAAUGAAGCAACAGUUCCAGGUCGGAGAAAAUGCCGAUGCUUACCUGAGAAAUUCGGGCUCCAUUGUAUUGUGUCUGUCCUGCAAUUGACUCACAAUAAUCCCUACAACUUCUGGGAGAGGUGCAAGUAUCAACCAGUUGGAGACACAGGGAAAGGGUGAUAUAAUGCAGAAAGUGACUUGAACAAAUUUACACAGAAGGCAGUGAAGUGUGAUUCAAAUUCAAGCAGUCUAGACUGUGCCCCACACAACUCUGCAGCAUAACCUUGCAGUAUGAAAAUAAUGCCUCUCAUGCAGAUCAGGGAUAUGAGAUCCAGUGACUUACCCAAAGUUUCAAAGGAAAGAUGUAACAGAGCCAUCUCUGAACUUCUGCUCUUGGGAAUCUACACACUCUUUCCACUAGUUCUGACCUUAGCAGGUGUUUGACCCAGGACUUGCCCAACUUGGUUUCCAUUUGUAUAGAACUAAUGCCAAAUUUCAAAAGAAAAUAUUACAUACCAUAAUCAAUAAAAACAAAAUAUCAAACAUG
rnacentral:lncRNA from 1 species